rnacentral:lncRNA from 1 species
AUAUUCUAAUAUAAUAUUUCAACUUAUCUACUUACCAUUCCAACUCAUAUUGCUCUUAUCUCUAAUAUCUCCCAUACAAAAGACCAACUGGAAAACAUAACCUAAAUUAAGCAGUGAUAUAACAGAUACUAGAGGCUAUUCUUGACUAUACAAACCAUGUCUAACUCGGUAGCUUAAGAAGUGAUACAUAUGUAACUUGUUCUUGUUAUAAAAACACCAACAAAGAGUCACAUUUCCUUCCAUUUUAACACUAACUCGGCAGCAAAUCUGCAAAAUAAUGGGUAAACUCCAAACCUGACAACAAAUCAAAACUGUUUAUAUUAAACUGCAAAAAAAACUACACAUGUUUGACUACAGUUC